UACUCAACCAAAAAAAAAAAUAGCCGAACCAAAGUUACGAUUUUCUCCCUUCAGUACUCCCACUUCUUCAUUUCCAUACCAUCUGGAGGACUUCCUUCGACCUUCUUUGCACCAACUUCUUUCCAGUUUGUUGAAAGCACUGUCCCAUUUGAUUCCAC